AAAAAUCUGAAACUCAAAAUUUGCAGAAAAUCCAGGGUCUGGACCCUUCAUCAAGUCCCCAAAAAACCAACAAGAAGUAUAUGCCAACAUGAAAUUCUUCAUUAUUAGAAUAUUACAUCAUAGUACAGUCAGCAACUAUACAAGAGACAGCUGAAGGUACAAAGAAAAAGACAACCCCAAACCCCAGACAACUUCCAUAAACAUCAUCUCCGCACAAAAACUGGAAGAAACAACUAUUGAAGAGGGCUUAACCGACAAAAUAUAAAAAUGUAAACUUACAUGGGUUCAUAUACAUCCCCUACCUUUAUUAACAACAAGAUAAGUUAAUGUAAGGGUUACCCUAGUUCUAAUUUAUAAACCAGACAGAAGCUGUUAUCUGAAUCUAAAAUGACAGGUUUUCACAGCCUAGCUAUUUAGAUUUAGAUACAAUUUUUCUUUUUGUUUUUGGAUUUCUUCGGUUCAUAGUUUCUUUAGCCUUUGAGGCUGCAGAAACAACAGUCUUGAACAUGCUCCCAAAAAUUUUAGCCUUGAUUUGGCUUCUCCUGCGGGGAAAUUGCAUUUCAUUCUUCUUCCUCAGGGGAGUAGCAGAAAUACUCGCCAUCGAUUUUGAAACAGAUUAUCUGCAGGGGAAACAGAGAAGCAACAGAGUAAAAGGUAACAGAACAACGAAACAAUGAAAGAUAAAAUUGAACAGAUCUAGCUCCAAUCAAAUUCAAAGAAGAAGAGAAGGAGAACAUAGGAUUCAUGUAAGAAAAAGAUACAUUUAUACUUAGAAAUCCAGUUACAAACAAGAAUUCUGGUUAAAACUUCUGUUAAUAGAAACAGAGAUGGAGCAGAGUCCUAGCCUUAUUAGUUACUACAAAAGGGAAAAAAAAUCAUUGACUUACAUAUAAAGAUGAAGUAUAGGGAAGAAUGGGAGAGAGGGGAGGGGAAGUGGGAAAUGAUAGUGAAAUGCUAAGGGAUUUUAAGAGGUGUUAGAAGUGGGUGGUGGUGAGUUUCACUUAUAGACCACAUACUUGAUGAAGGGGCAGCCAAUUAUAAUGAGAGGCAGCCUUGGCUAUGGAGAAGGAGAGGAGGUUGUUCGGUUGAAAAGAAAAAAAGGGUUUGGGCUUAAGCCUUAAAGGAGGUGUCCCAUAUAAAAAAAUUGGGGGUAUGGUGAUUUUGUGAAGAAGAUGAGGCUUUGCUCUUUCCUUGCAAGUUCUCA
rnacentral:lncRNA from 1 species